rnacentral:lncRNA from 1 species
CAGGGUUGCAUUGGCACAGAGAAGACGCGGGCUUUACCACCAUUGCUAGGAGCACACAAUGAAUAGCCAGCUUGGAGGUGGCAGCAGCAAGAAAGAGUCUAAGAGUACCCAUUGGAUACAGGGAGAAUGAGCUGAUGGUGAAUUUUUCUACAACUGGCACGGGUGAUAUGACUAUACCAACACAGUCUCAAUAAAGUACUAACUUCCGAGACCGAUGACACACAGCAAGAUGCCCACCUCCAGCUCUAAAGUAGCAGCAGUGCAGGGAAUGGAGACAUAAUGAGAGAAAUGGUGCAGCAGCUGCAAUACGACCAUGAAUGAGUAUGGCUGCUUUGUGCUGUGGCACUUGCAGCUAGAAGCACAGACCACCUUCGUCUUGUCUAUCUCUUCAUGUUUUUUUUCUUUUUUUAGUUUGGAAUGGUUGUUUCUUAUGUAUUUGUUUAUGAAAGUUUAAAAAUAUGAAAAAAAGAGGUUUUGUGGUCUCAGAGUUGGACAUAGUAAGCUGAUAUAGACUUUAUGCAAUAAUUUUGGUCGACUACAAUACUGAGAUACAUAUCAGCCUCAUAAUACAGUAAAACACGAACAUUAGAUUAA